rnacentral:lncRNA from 12 species
UGGUGCGAGAGCGAGCGGAGCGCCUCUAAUGAGCUGCAGCAGGAUGAGCGUUUGACCCGUGUGAAUGAGAAACUCAUAUCUGCUAUUGUCUUACACUGCUUUUCUAAUGUUUCUCAGCGGGGCGUCUCACAUUUUAAAUGACCCUGCCUGACGUUUCAUCUUCUCUUGCUCGCUGGCUUUGAGCGGAUCAGUUCUCCAGUGAAAGACUGGUGUGUGAUUGUCAGAUGUGUGACUGUGAAGCAUGGCACUAACUCUGUCUUUCUCUCUCUUUCUCUCCUCGGUGCUGUCCGGGAACAGAAGAGUACGCGGUGGAAGGAGACUCGUCUCUAGUGGGUGAGUACAGCAUGUUUCUUCCCUUCUGCUGAUCUUUAUAAAGAUGUCAUGAACCACAUUAUUUUCCUCUCUUUUUGUUGAUGAUGCUGAAGUGUAACAACACACAAAAGCACAGCAGACACAGAACCUUAGCUUGGCUAACAGUCAGCUUGAGGUAUUGAUUAUAUGCAGUUUUUAGUUGAUAUUAAUUUAAAUAUAUAUAUAUUUUUAGAGUUUUUGCCUUAAUAAUCUUCUGCCCCUGUUGUUCACAGUAAAUUAUCUAUUAUCAAUUACCUAAUUAAGAUUUGAGUCAUACACACACACUCAGAAAACAAAAAAACAAAAGGGGCAAAAAAGAAACACAUAUCCAUGUCCAUAUUAUACAUCUAUGUUAAAAAAGGACAAAGUAAAUG